rnacentral:misc_RNA from 1 species
GAUGAAGAACGUAGCGAAAUGCGAUAAGUAGUGUGAAUUGCAGAAUUCAGUGAAUCAUCGAAUCUUUGAACGCACAUUGCGCCCCUUGGUAUUCCAUGGGGCAUGCCUGUUCGAGCGUCAUUUGUACCUUCAAGCUCUGCUUGGUGUUGGGUGUUUGUCUCGCCUCUGCGUGUAGACUCGCCUUAAAACAAUUGGCAGCCGGCGUAUUGAUUUCGGAGCGCAGUACAUCUCGCGCUUUGCACUCAUAACGACGACGUCCAAAAGUACAUUUUUACACUCUUGACCUCGGAUCAGGUAGGGAUACCCGCUGAACAUAAGCAUAUCAAUAAGCGGAGGA